AUUGAACGCUGGCGGCAGGCCUAACACAUGCAAGUCGAGCGGAGCGGCGGACGGGUGCGUAAUGCCUAGGAAUCUGCCUGGUAGUGGGGGAUGACGUCCGGCAACGGGCGCUAAUACCGCAUACUAUCAGAUGAGCCUAGGUCGGAUUAGCUAGUUGGUGGGGUAAAGGCCUACCAAGGCGACGAUCCGUAACUGGUCUGAGAGGAUGAUCAGUCACACUGGAACUGAGACACGGUCCAGACUCCUACGGGAGGCAGCAGUGGGGAAUAUUGCACAAUGGGCGAAAGCCUGAUGCAGCCAUGCCGCGUGUGUGAAGAAGGUCUUCGGGUUGUAAAGCACUUUAAGCUGGGAGGCGUUACCAGCAGAAGAAGCACCGGCUAACUUCGUGCCAGCAGCCGCGGUAAUUC
rnacentral:rRNA from 1 species